AUUGAACGCUAGCGGGAUGCCUUACACAUGCAAGUCGAACGGAGUGGCGAACGGGUGAGUAAUGUAUCGGAACGUGCCCAGUAGCGGGGGAUGACUACGCGAAAGCGUAGCUAAUACCGCCUACUAUUGGAGCGGCCGCUCUCGGAUUAGCUAGUUGGUGGGGUAACGGCGCACCAAGGCGACGAUCCGUAGCUGGUUUGAGAGGAUGACCAGCCACACUGGGACUGAGACACGGCCCAGACUCCUACGGGAGGCAGCAGUGGGGAAUAUUGGACAAUGGGCGAAACCCUGAUCCAGCCAUGCCGCGUGUGCGAUGAAGGCCUUCGGGUUGUAAAGCACUUUCGGCGGGAAAGCGGUACCUGCAGAAUAAGCACCGGCUAACUACGUGCCAGCAGCCGCGGUAAUUC
rnacentral:rRNA from 1 species